rnacentral:rRNA from 1 species
GGGCCCGCACAAGCGGCGGAGCAUGCGGAUUAAUUCGAUGCAACGCGAAGAACCUUACCAAGGCUUGACAUAUACAGGAAAAGCGUAGAAAUACGCUCCCCGCAAGGUCUGUAUACAGGUGGUGCAUGGUUGUCGUCAGCUCGUGUCGUGAGAUGUUGGGUUAAGUCCCGCAACGAGCGCAACCCUCGUCCUAUGUUGCCAGCACGUAAUGGUGGGAACUCAUGGGAUACUGCCGGGGUCAACUCGGAGGAAGGUGGGGAUGACGUCAAAUCAUCAUGCCCCUUAUGUCUUGGGCUUCACGCAUGCUACAAUGGCCGGUACAGAGGGCUGCCAAUACCGUAAGGUGGAGCGAA